rnacentral:rRNA from 1 species
GGACGAACGCUGGCGGCGUGCUUAACACAUGCAAGUCGAGCGGUAAGGCCCUUUCGGGGGUACACGAGCGGCGAACGGGUGAGUAACACGUGGGUGACCUGCCCUCAGCUCUGGGAUAAGCCUGGGAAACUGGGUCUAAUACUGGAUAUGACUCCACGGUGCAUGUCGUGGGGUGGAAAGCCUUGUGCGGCUGAGGAUGGGCCCGCGGCCUAUCAGCUUGUUGGUGGGGNGAUGGCCUACCAAGGCGACGACGGGUAGCCGGCCUGAGAGGGCGACCGGCCACACUGGGACUGAGACACGGCCCAGACUCCUACGGGAGGCAGCAGUGGGGAAUCUUGCGCAAUGGGCGAAAGCCUGACGCAGCGACGCCGCGUGAGGGAUGACGGCCU